GGGCCGUUAGCUCAGCGGUAGAGCAGCGGGCUUUUAACCCGACGGUCGCAGGUUCGACCCCUGCACGGCCCA
rnacentral:tRNA from 1 species